rfam:Lichtheimia corymbifera JMRC:FST:9682, FST 9682, WGS project CBTN01000000 data, contig: SCAF00055
GCGCGGAUGGUUUAGUGGUAUAAUAUCCGCCUGCCACGCGGAUGACCCGGGUUCGAUUCCCGGUCCGCGCA